GGAGGUGAGGUAUUACAUGGCAUUCAAGAGGUCAGGGGUUCGAUUCCCCUCAUCUCCACCA
rnacentral:tRNA from 1 species